rnacentral:rRNA from 1 species
GUAGGGAAUAUUGGGCAAUGGUCGGAAGACUGACCCAGCCAUGCCGCGUGCAGGAAGACGGCCCUCUGGGUUGUAAACUGCUUUUAUCUGGGAAGAAAAAGGCCAUGCGUGGCAAAUUGCCGGUACCAGAUGAAUAAGCACCGGCUAACUCCGUGCCAGCAGCCGCGGUAAUACGGAGGGUGCGAGCGUUGUCCGGAUUUAUUGGGUUUAAAGGGUGCGUAGGCGGCUGAUUAAGUCAGCGGUGAAAGACUUCGGCUUAACCGGAGCAGUGCCGUUGAUACUGGUUGGCUUGAGUGGCGGAGGGGUACAUGGAAUUGAUGGUGUAGCGGUGAAAUGCAUAGAUACCAUCAGGAACACCGAUAGCGAAGGCAUUGUACUGGCCGACAACUGACGCUGAUGCACGAAAGUGUGGGGAUCGAACAGGAUUAGAAACCCGUGUAGUCC